rnacentral:rRNA from 1 species
GAUGAACGCUGGCGGCGUGCCUAAUACAUGCAAGUCGAGCGAACAGACGAGGAGCUUGCUCCUCUGACGUUAGCGGCGGACGGGUGAGUAACACGUGGAUAACCUACCUAUAAGACUGGGAUAACUUCGGGAAACCGGAGCUAAUACCGGAUAAUAUAUUGAACCGCAUGGUUCAAUAGUGAAAGACGGUUUUGCUGUCACUUAUAGAUGGAUCCGCGCCGCAUUAGCUAGUUGGUAAGGUAACGGCUUACCAAGGCGACGAUGGGUAGCCGACCUGAGAGGGUGGUCGGCCACACUGGAAGGGAGACACGGUCCAGACUCCUACGGGAGGCAGCAGUAGGGAAUCUGCCGCAAUGGGCGAAAGCCUGACGGAGCAACGCCGCGUGAGUGAUGAAGGUCUUCGGAUCGUAAAACUCUGUUAUUAGGGAAGAACAAAUGUGUAAGUAACUAUGCACGUCUUGACGGUACCUAAUCAGAAAGCCACGGCUAACUACGUG